UACGUAGGGUGCGGGCGUUAAUCGGAAUUACUGGGCGUAAAGCGUGCGCAGGCGGUUUGCUAAGACAGGUGUGAAAUCCCCGGGCUUAACCUGGGAACUGCGCUUGUUACUGGCAAGCUUGAGUGUGGCAGAGGGGGGUGGAAUUCCACGUGUAGCAGUGAAAUGCGUAGAGAUGUGGAGGAACACCGAUGGCGAAGGCAGCCCCCUGGGCUAACACUGACGCUCAUGCACGAAAGCGUGGGGAGCAAACAGG
rnacentral:rRNA from 1 species